AUGAACGCUGGCGGCGUGCCUAAUACAUGCAAGUCGAGCGAACAGAUGAGGAGCUUGCUCCUCUGACGUUAGCGGCGGACGGGUGAGUAACACGUGGAUAACCUACCUAUAAGACUGGGAUAACUUCGGGAAACCGGAGCUAAUACCGGAUAGUAUAUUGAACCGCAUGGUUCAAUAGUGAAAGACGGUUUUGCUGUCACUUAUAGAUGGAUCCGCGCCGCAUUAGCUAGUUGGUAAGGUAACGGCUUACCAAGGCAACGAGGCGCAGCCGACCUGAGAGGGGGCGCGCCCACACGGGAACAGACACACGGCCAAGACUCCUGCGGGAGGCACAAGAAGGGAUUCUCCGGCAAGGGGCGAAAGCCGGACGGAGCACGCCCGGGGGAGGAAGAAAGGUUUACGUAUCGAAAACUUUUUUUAUUAGGGAAAAAAAAAUGUGAAAGUAAAUCUGCCCGGCUGGACGGUACAUAAUAAGAAAGCCCCGGCUAAGCCCGUC
rnacentral:rRNA from 1 species